rnacentral:lncRNA from 1 species
UUCUAUUGGAGAAUUUACUAGAAGGGUUAUGAGAGCAAAAAUGAUUAUUUUCUAUAUUUAGAAUAGUAGAGAAUAAUUAUGGUUUUCUCUACCUUAUUUUACAAUACAAAACGAUAUGUUAAGUGUGCAUUAAUAAAGAUAUUGCAUCAAUUAUUUCUCACCUAAACUCUCUAUCUCAUCUAUUUAUUUUGGGAAUGUUUCAAAAAAUCUGAAAGACUCGCAUCAAAAAUUCUCAAAUCAAAGAGUUUAUAUAUUGUAUUCUAACCAUUUGUUUUGGAAAUAAGUAAAUUACUGUUUUGAGCAUUAAAGGCUCCCAAAUGGUACCCGUUUCGCUAUCAUACAUACGGACAUACCAAUAUGAAAAUGUAUAUUGGAAUAUAAACGCUGCUAAUCUAAACCAAAAACGUAAUACAUUUC